rnacentral:lncRNA from 1 species
GAGCAGCACGUUUUCUGGGGUUCUACCAUUACCACCACCUUCUAGCCAAAGCUUCAAUUUUUUCAACCACGGAGGACAUCAGAACUGAAGAAAAAUCUGGUGACUCUCAUGGUGAUCCUGACACCCUUCUCACAAAUAUAAUUACCACAAAAAUGAUAAAAUUUUUAACCAAAGCCUAGAUCCCAACCAUGACCCAUGAAACUACAAUCGGCCAGAUUGGUGUCAAGUUGGAUGGUUCCAACUACGCUCUAUGGUCCCAGGUUGUCGAGAUAUACAUCUCCGGCAAAGACAAACUGGGUUUUAUCAACGGUGAUUUUCCUCAACCCUCUCUAACUGAUCCCUCUUUUCGAAAGUGGCGCACCAAAGAUGCCAUCGUCAAAGGUUGGCUGAUAAACUCCAUGGAUCCAACACUCAUUGGUAAUUUCAUUAGAUUUCCUACUGCCAAAUCAGUUUGGGAUGCCAUUGUUACUACAUUUUUUGAUGACAAUCCUUCGAUGACAAGUGUCUCGACUGAAACAAGGCAAUGACUCCCUUGAGAAAUACCACUCCGAACUGCAAGGACUUUGGCGAGAAAUUGACUUCUGUCGCCCCAAUCCAAUAAUAUGUGCUACUGACAUCAACAAAUAUAACUCUCUGGUCCAAGAAGAACGAGUAUACAAAUUAUUGGAUGGAGUUGAUGACUGACUGGAUAGUGUGAGAGGUGAUGUUCUCCAGAUGAAACUAUUUCCAACCAUUGAACAAGCAUAUGCACAGGUUCGCCAAAAAGCACUCCGACAGGCUGUCAUGACCACCGACCCUGCCACUAUUUCUGGUGCGGUUCUGGUCACAAAAAGGUUAUAGCUGGGUUCUGGUGUUCCUACCUUUACUGGCACAUCAUCUCAAGGAACAGGAAAAUUGACCGUUGGUUCCAAAAUUCGCAGCACUAUUGAAGGGGAAAAAUGUUCUUACUGUGGUAAUCAAAAGUACACCCGUGAUAAUUGCUUCAAACUCCAUGGAUACCCCGACUAGUGGCAUGAAUUGUAGGCUAAGAAGAAACGACCAGGUGCAGUUGUAAGCACAGGGAAGACAGCUGUGGUGACAAUUCACUCUCCACUAUCUUUAAUUCCCUAAGCUGAAUUGUCAACAGAUGGAGGUCCUAACUCUGACUUAGGUACAUUUGGCUCUUCAUUUAUUUCCUCUUUUCAGGAAGAUAAUAAACAUCGUGGUUGGCCACUUGACACCGAGACCACUGACCACAUGACCUUUGAUGCUGCAAAUUUUACUCAAAAAUCACGACGCACUAUUGUUGCAAAUGCAAAUGAGACUCUUUCCCCAGUCACAGGGGCUGGUUCUAUGACUUUGUCUCCCUCUCUUCAAUUAUCUAAUAUAUUGCUUGUGCCAUCACUUCCCCAUAAAUUGUUAUCUACUAGUCAAGCUACUAAAGAAUUAAAUUGUGCAGUGCUAAUUUACCCUACUUUUUGCCUUCUUCAGGAUAUUCUCACGAAGGAGAUAAUUGGACGUGGUACUAGGAGAAUAAGAUUAUACCAUUUGGAAGAUUUUAGCAUAGGAAGUACACAUCUUGUUCAGGGUGAUGCUGGAGAACGACAGAUUUGGCUCUGGCAUCGUCGCUUGGGACAUCCAUCAUUUGGUUAUUUGAAACAUUUAUUGCUUGAUUUGUGUUCGAAUAUGGAUACUUCUAGUUUAAAAUGCGAUACUUACAUUGUUGCCAAAAGUCAUCGCAACUCAUAUCCUUUGAGCAUG